UACGUAGGGAGCAAGCGUUGUCCGGAAUCAUUGGGCGUAAAGAGCGCGUAGGCGGCCCUGUAAGUCCGUUCUGAAAGUCGGAGGCUCAACCUCCGAAAGCGGAUGGAUACUGCAGGGCUAGAGUCCGGAAGAGGCGAGUGGAAUUCCUGGUGUAGCGGUGGAAUGCGCAGAUAUCAGGAGGAACACCAACGGCGAAGGCAGCUCGCUGGGACGGUACUGACGCUGAGGCGCGAAAGCGUGGGGAGCAAACGGG
rnacentral:rRNA from 1 species